AGGUAUGUGACUGCGAGAGCAACUUGGUUCAAUGGUGCUUUUAGCAAGGUGGCAAAGGCAGGGCAGGCUGCAGGUACGAAAACCAGAGAAAAGUUCCAUAUGGCUGUGUCAAACUUGACUGCAAAGGAUCCAAUAGCUGCAUAAGUGAAGGGUUCCAGGUGUCAAAAAGUAACCUUGAUAGACAUUCUUUCUU